AUUCAUUAAUAUUUCAAGCAAUUAUUAGUUAGAUAUGUCCUUAUCUUAUUUCAUUGUUCUUAUAGAUUUGGAAUAACAUUUUGUUAAACUGGGAAAAUAUUGUUUCUUUGUUAAACUAAUAGAUGAGACUUUUACCCUUUCUGUUAACGCCGAUAACGAUGCCUUCUUAGCUGAAAGUUAAUCCUGGUUUUGCUUUCACUUUCCGUAUACAUACGGUUCGCUUUGGCGAUAGAAAUUUGGCGACAUGUUAUCCUCACAGCAUGACCUGAAGCCACUCAUUCCUCUUGCGCAGUCAUUCGCUUGUUUGUGUUAGGGAAGCAGGGUGCAAUUUAUGUGAAUAAACUCUUAAUUGAUUUAAUUUUAUAAUGAGUAUCAUGAUAAUUAUUAAGAAUCGAAGAGUUUCUUUUAAAUCGAGUGAAGAGUUGUGAUACGAAAAGAUUUGAAUUAUAGCCAUCAUAUUUGAGGGAAAAAAAUCGAUUAAGUUUUUAGUGUGCUCAUUAAUCAUUUAUUGUUUACACACGUGUUUUCGAAGAAAGAACAAGGAUGUAAAUUGGCGGUGUAAUUAAUUUGAAAAUUUUUUAAUUAAUAUUUCGACAUUUUGUUUGAUAUAAAAAAACUGUAUUAGAAUUUUAAUUUAUAAACUUUGUACAAAAUUUAAAAAAAAAAAAAGCUGAAGAUGACUUUUUUGAUAUUUUGUUCGCUGUCAUAAUCGUUUUAUCAUAUCAGAAUCAUAAGUUUUCAUCUGAUAUUGAUUAAAUCAGAACGCUAAGAAACUGUGAUUAACAUUCAACGUGAAAACAGUUUUUGCAACCUGGAAGAAGUGUUUUGAACAAUUUUGUUUUUUAAAUUUCAUUGUUUUUCGAGAGACUUAAAACUGAAUCUUGAAGAAUAGGAAUAGUAUGACAAGGUACUCUUCGAAAAGGUGGGGGAAGCGAUCGGCCAGAGAGAGACCAAGAGAAGGCCAGCAGUGGCAGCGGUCCUUCAUUAUGGAGAUUCAUUUGGCAACCUGCCUGGCAUCCCCGUGGUCCUGUAAACGAGAUUCAUAAAAAUCCAUCUCAUUCAAUGGCUAUGGGCGAGUCCAGUGACGGUAAAGGAGACCGGCAGCAGACAACUGGUGACGGACCUAUUUCUAAGGAAGGUAAGGCCAUCAUACAUUUACAUAAGUAUAAAUCAGAAGAAAUGAUUACAUGUAUUAGUAUUCUCCUUGGACUCGUAAAACGAAUGUAUGAUCCAGUUUUCUCACUUGAAAUCAAGCUUUCUUUGGUUGCCAUCAGCAUGAAAUUAAUAAAAAUUAUAUUGCUUACCUGUGAAAUAUUUCUUUAUUCCUAAUCACAGAGAAACAUGCUUAGAGUAGAGUUUCCAUUCUAAUACUACAGUUUAAUACUAACAGUCUGGCCCUAAUGAUUUUAGCAACACACUACUGUACAACGCUUAACUACUAUGUAGUUAGAUUGAUGAGUUUAUCGUUUUCUAAUCGAAUUAAUGAAGUUCAUGGUAAUCGUUAAUUAAUUUGCUUCAUUUUAGCUCUAACAAAUGCUUAGAUGUUACUUUUUUAGGAAUGUCAUAUUUCAAUGACUAUGUAAGAAAAUUUCGUUUAUUUUAAUUUCUCACUAUUUACCUUAUUUCUUAUGUUGA
rnacentral:misc_RNA from 1 species